AUAUGUUUUGUCCAAAACAUAAUACCCCCAUUAGUUGUCCUUAUUUAUUUAUUUUUAAAUAAUAUAUAUUUGUUAUAUUGAGGACCACUGUUCAGGGGUGUCCGCAAGAUUAUAUUUUACAGAUCCACUCCCUUUGCAGAUAUACUUCAUAUUAAAAAGAUUUUGUUGAUCAGUUCUCAAUGUAGUAGAAUCCGAAAAAUCCAAUACCCCCUUCCUCUCCCUCAUUAUAGAAAAAUCUUUAAAUCGGUACCUCCGUCCGUCAAACUGGACGUCAUAAAUGUAUGACCUCCCUAGAAUCUUCCUUAAUAGAAGAUAAAAUUUAAAAAAUAUUUCCAUUUGUAUAAAAGAGAAUGCAUAUUUUAUAGGUAGUUUAAUUUUUUAAACUGUAUUUAUUCCAAGACUUAUAGUACUUACAAUUCCAAUAUUACUUACUUCUUUUUUUGAAGAAUAUUAACAUGUUUUCAAUAAAAUAAUAUGCAUGUAACAAGAAAAAAUAGAUUUAACAAUUAUAUUUCAUUAAAUAUUUGUUAUUUAUAGAUAUUAAUUUUAGUGUCUUUUUCGCCGAUAAUAAAUGAAAAAAAGUCUAGAUUUAUAGCUUGUUUAUUGUAAAAUUUACGGAAUUUUAUACAGGCAAUGUCAUUCCUUCUUGAUACCAAGUCGAGGGAGUUCCAAAGUAAAGUAUUGUUGGGAAAGAUUAAGAAAAAACUUAUAGGAAAUGAUAAUCUUUUUGUUUUUGACGGAAAUGUGAUCACUAACUGCAAUGUUGAUUGGUCCUCUGUAUGGUCAUAAUUAGGUUCCCCUUAUUUAAUAAAUUUGCAAGAUGUUGAGAUGUCUGACAACAAAACAAUUACAAGUUUUGCAGUAAUAAGUUUAAAAACGUUUUUGGCUCUGAUUGAUAUGGCAAGAGACUAAAGGUUUUCAUUAUAGAUGGGUUUUCUUAUUGUAUAAAAUCUAUCAAAAGCCUUUAGCAACAUUUUGCAAUUAUAUUGUUUGCCCCUCGUCUCUCUCAUGGUUUUAACAGAAUAGCAAUGCUUUGUUCUAAUUACUUAUAAAAUACCAACAUCUCUGAAGUAACCAUUUUGGUUAUUUAUUCUGGUGAUUUUAAAUGAUUGAUUACAACACAUAGCACUUCAAUUCAGUCUUAAGAGUACAGAUGAAAACCGUGAAGCAAUCAAUAAGUGAAUAGCAAUAAUGAUAUUCAUUAAAAAUUUUGUAAAAGGGAAAUUAGUACGCACAACUUAAAUGUCUACUAAUGAAUGAGACCAUGGCACAUUUUCGUUGAGGUUAUCAUCAGUAAAACCUAAAUAAUACAAUCAAUAGAAGAAACCAAAUCUUAAGAUAUAUUUUUAAUAUUAUACUUGUAUCUACCUACAUUCAUAAUUCUCAUUAAGUGUUGAAGAAAUUGAUUUAACUUCAGAAAAGUCCAUAGUUAAUGGUGUAAAAUAUUUUUCAUGAUUUUUUUUGCCGUGUUUAACACUUCAAUUACAAUCUCUGCGUUCUUUUUAGAUAUGCUGUAAGUACUCCUUAAUAUUUUUGUUAAAAUUCAAUGUCCAAUUGUAAAAAGGAUUUGUUUAUAGAGAUUUUCUUAACAACUAGGGCAAGUCUUCAAAAUGACCUUGAUUGUUACGCCGUCUCAUUAUAUUCAAUUCGUGAUGCACAGUCUUCCAAUUAUGAUUCAAAUAUUAAAGUUGGUCUACUGCAAUAGUUAUUGUACUCUUGAUCCAAACAUGAUUGUAUUGUAUAUGGCAUUCCUACGACUUGGAAGCGAAUGGCUUUGAAAUCAAAAUGAAAUGCUACUCUUCCUAAUACAAAAAUCCUUAAGGUUGUUGGAAUCGUUGAAAAAGAAAAAAUUUGAUUGGUUGAAAGAGAUUAUAAAAAAAAAAACUCAUUGGUACGCUCGCAUCUACUAAACAAAUUUUCCUCAGUAUUGUAAUAAUGAUCAGCAAAGCAACUUCCCUUGACUGCUCUCUUACGUCCAUCACCAUCAUGCCGAACAAAAUGUGCCUUUUUUCAUGGGUUUCUAACAACGAAGGUACUGAUGUGUGGAAUUAUGAUUUGGAAAAUAAAAGUAUAUCUUGCCGUUUUUGCGGUUUCUCGUGCCCAUCUCGUUCUUUAUGGCAAGUAAUUCGCUACUCUAUAAUCUCCCAUCACAUCAACAACUAAAAAAUCUUCAAGAAACACAAGAUUCAAGGAGACGAAGGAAAAUUAAACGGUUCAUCAUUCAAUUUGGACAUCGUAAACUUAUUUGUGUCGUGUAACAUCCCUUUAAAUGUUCUGAAUAAUGCCUAAGAGAGUAUUUACUGCUUUGUAUGAAAUUCCCCUUCCUGUAUCACCAAUUAUAACUAAAGUUGAUAAUUUUGUGGAGAAAAACUCGUGCAAGUAGAAGG
rnacentral:lncRNA from 1 species